GUGGACAUUUUCAACUUUUUAAAGGCUUCCAUGGUGGUACAAGAAGAAACCCAGGUUAAAAAUACCACUUCCCAUGAAUAAAUUGCAUUAAGGCCCAAUACAUGUCACAGGGCCCAAUGACAGAUGCAGAAAAACCCAUCCCAUUGUGGGUAUUAUUAUAGACAGUUCGAGAAAGACUCACAGUAAUGGUAAGUUCUGGAAAUGAAAAGAAAGGAAUAGCUCAUAGGCAUGAUCAUGAAUGAUGAUUUUGCAUCCCAGCCUGAUCCAAACUUAAAAGCUACAAAGAACAGUACCUUCUGAUUCUCUUGCAGAAUCACAAACACUGUUUACUUUUGUUUGCCAUUGUUGUGCUGUGUGUGGAUGUCAGGGACAGGGAAGAAACCCACAGAGAUAACCAUAAAGCUGCUAUGCCCCUCUCUCUCGAAGAUGGCCCAAGUGGUGGUGUGGGAGGACCAGAGAAUCGACUUGGGCUCCAUUUCGCGGGCCUUUGGGCUUGAUCCAUCAACACUGAGGCUGAACGGUCACUUCAUCAGCAGAGGAGUGGACCUCAUAGCUUCCUCCCUCACUUGGAACUCUCUUCUCUCUUUCUUCUCCUCCAAAGGCUUGCCCACUGGCAGAGACCAAUGUGAUGCUCUUCUCGUCACUGGCAAGCUCUGCAAAGUAGGACUCAAGCGAGGACAUGACUCACUAGAUUUUCAAAAUGGGAUUGGCAAGAUGAUAGAAAGUGAGAAUGCUGUUAACAUUAAAGGAAUUCAACUGGAAGCUAUCAACUUGAUCAAGAAUAAAAAGUUGAAAGAGAGCAGCUGAGAUCUUAAGUAGGCCAAAGCUGCAAGAGAAAGCAACUAUGGGAAGAUGUCAACCUAUUCAAGAAACUAAAAAUAGAUGAGGACAAGUCAGGCAAGUUCAGCAUUCAUUACAUUUUAUGGCAUUGCCUUCCCCCAUCCCUUCCUAAGAAAAAUCUCUUAUCUGUCUACGACUGCCUCUACUACACUAACACAUUUAAUGGACUCUUCUCAGAUAUUGGAGAUAAAAUUGAUGACCACUCUAGGAGCAUUGCACGCAACCAGUUUACGUGCAGCUAUGCAAGUAAGAAUCUGAAGCUUCUGCACGUAAGAAUCUGAAGCGGAUACGAGAAGACGAGGCAAUUGUGGCAGCUAACUACAAAAGAAUUAGAUAAAUUAUGUCUCAUUGGGAUGACAUGAUUGAACCUUCCGAGCGCUAGGAAAAUCAUAUUUCUUGCUCAAGAAUUGGGAAUAAAGAAUUAUUGGCAACCUAAUCUCUUCGAAAAGUUCCAUGAACCAAAACUUUAAUAUCCCUAACUUGCAUAAACAUAAAACUUAUAAUCUUCUGAGUAAAAGUCAGUUGGUCCUAAAUCAAUAGCAUAGCGUUUUGAUUCAUUUGGGCAUCUGAAAAUGAUAUCUCAUUCUGGUUGUUUGCUUUGAAGAGCUGACCAAAAUAAUAUUGAGCUUUCAUGCCACAUUAACGAGAUAGAUGCUCAAUAUAGGGUAAAAAGUGCUCUCAUGUUGACUCAGUUAUUUUGAACUUCCAUUUCAAACAAAGUGUAAUAAACUGUGUAUACCUCUUAAUUGGCUUGCUAGAUCAGGAAAAACAUGUUCGAUUUAUCGCUGCAAAUGCCAAUCGUGAGAUAAUAGUUAUAAAAUAUGUCUAAUGUGCGGUGAAAGACAACAAGGGUUUAUUUAUGGUCUUUACUUGGGAAAUUAUGACAAAUGAUGGAAUAUCCCACCAGUCAUGCCGGCCUAAACAAGUGUGCUUGAAGGAUGGUGAUCUCUUCAGUCAGUGAAUCCCCUUGUGGACAGACCUUCAAUCCGGAAUGAACUAGAGGAUUCGACCAUUUUCCUAUAAUUCGUAGAACUUUUUUAUGUCAUUGACGUAUAAGUGUUAACAGCAGCCAUGGAGGGUACACCACCUCUUAACAUGCCCAGUAUGCAAGUUCCAUUAUAUAAGUACGUGCAAUACUUUGUGUAAGCCAGUUACUGCUACCAUGGUAGGAGACUUUUGCAAGAUACACUCGUAUAAAGAGGUAUGAUACCUGUUAGGAGUUGGAGGGUUCAUGAGAGAAGGAAUAAAACUGGGAAUACCUUACUGUAUUGGCAGUUAGGAGGAGUGGGUAUUCGUUUGUAUAAAUAGCUAACUGAAUAGCUGUGAAUAGUUAGUUGAUUGUUUUGUAGAAGUCUAACAGGAAUUUAUCAUUCCUGAGGGGAGGUUAAGCUCUCACAGUUUACAUACUCUGUAUUCUUUUACUAUCAAUACAAGAAUAUAUCAUUCUUUCUUCUGGAUGUGGGUGUGUUGUGUGCCUUUUA